rnacentral:rRNA from 1 species
GACGGAGGGGGCAAGCGUUGUCCGGACUCACUGGGCGUAAAGGGUGCGUAGGCGGCAGAGCGCGUCCGCGAUGAAAUCUGUUGGCUUAACUGACAGGCGCGUGCGGAUACGGCUCAGCUCGAGGUACGGAGAGGGUGGGGGAAUUCCUGGUGUAGCGGUGAAAUGCGCAGAUAUCAGGAAGAACACCUAUGGCGAAAGCAGCUCUCUGGGACGGUACUGACGCUGAGGAGCGAAAGCGUGGGUAGCGAACAGG